GUCUACAGCCAUACCAUCCUGAAUGUGCCUGGUUGCAUCUGAUCGCAGAAGCUAAGCAGGGUUGGGCCUGGUUAGCAUUUGAAUGAAGAACACAAAAGUCUGAUGAAAAAUUUUGAUGAAGUACAGU
rnacentral:rRNA from 1 species